rnacentral:rRNA from 1 species
AUCGAACGCUGGCGGCAGGCCUAACACAUGCAAGUCGAGCGGAAGAAGCGCGCUUGCUCCUGGCUCCAGUGGCGGACGGGUGAGUAAUGCCUAGGAAUCUGCCUGGUAGCGGGGGAUAAAGUCCGGAAAAGGGCGCCUAUUACGCAUAAGUAGCGCGGGCGACAGUGGGGGGUCUUCGGACUUCCCGCUAUCAGGUGAGCCUAGGCCGUUUUUGAUAGUUGGUGGGGUAAAGGCCUAUCAAGGCGGCGUUCCGUAACUGGUCUGAGAGGAUGAACAGUCACAGUGGAACUGAGACACGGUCCUGACUCCUACGGGAGGCAGCGGUGCGGAAGGUUGGACGAUGGGCGGAAGCCUGAUCCAUGCGUGGCGGGCGUGUGAAGAAGGGCUGCGGAUUGGAAAGCACUUUAAGUUUGGAGGAAGGGCAGUAAUUUAAUACCUUGCUGGUUUGACGGUACCGGCAGAAUAAGCACCGGCUAACUUCGUG